GCGCGUAGCAAGCUGGGAGGAAA
rnacentral:piRNA from 1 species